AGAACAAACGCUGGCGGCGUGCUAACACAUGCAAGUCGUACGAGAAAGUCCGCUUCGGUGGAUAAGUAAAGUGGCGCACGGGUGAGUAACGCGUGGAUAAUCUACCCUUUAAGUCGGGAAUAACUUAUCGAAAGGUGAAUUAAUACCUGAUAACACUGCAUAACUACUGUUGUGUAGUCAAAGAAGGCCUCUGCUUGCAAGCUUUCGCUGAAGGAUGAGUCCGCGUACCAUUAGCUAGUUGGUAGGGUAAUGGCCUACCAAGGUUAUGAUGGUUAGCUGGUCUGAGAGGAUGAUCAGCCACACUGGAACUGAAACACGGUCCAGACUCCUACGGGAGGCAGCAGUGAGGAAUAUUGCGCAAUGGGGGCAACCCUGACGCAGCAACGCCGCGUGAGUGAGGAAGGUUUUCGGAUUGUAAAGCUCUGUCGAGCGGAAAGAAAUGCAUGAUGGCUAAUAUCCAUCAUGCUUGACGGUACCGCUAAAGGAAGCACCGGCUAACUCCGUGCCAGCAGCCGCGGUAAUACGGGGGGUGCAAGCGUUGUUCGGAAUUAUUGGGCGUAAAGAGCGUGUAGGCGGCUUGACAAGUCAGAUGUGAAAUCCCUGGGCUUAACCUAGGAAGUGCAUUUGAGACUGUCAGGCUUGAGUAAGGGAGAGGAAAGUGGAAUUCCUGGUGUAGAGGUGAAAUUCGUAGAUAUCAGGAGGAACACCGGUGGCGAAGGCGACUUUCUGGCCCUAUACUGACGCUGAGACGCGAAAGCGUGGGUAGCAAACAGGAUUAGAUACCCUGGUAGUCCACGCUGUAAACGAUGUUCACUAGGUGUUGGGGGUAUUGACCCUUUCAGUGCCGCAGCUAACGCAUUAAGUGAACCGCCUGGGGAGUACGGUCGCAAGAUUAAA
rnacentral:rRNA from 1 species